AGAGUUUGAUCCUGGCUCAGGAUGAACGCUGACAGAAUGCUUAACACAUGCAAGUCUAUGGGGAAACGGUGCUUGCACCGCGUUAACCAUGGCGGACGGGUGAGUAACGCGUAAAGAACUUGCCGGAUGGUCCGGGAUAACAGUCGGAAACGACUGAUAAUACCAGAUAUUAUGAGCCUGCCGCAUAGCCGGCUCAUGAAAAGCAAUGCCAUCCGAGAGCUUUGCGUCCUAUUAGCUUGUUGGUAAGGUAACGGCUUACCAAGGCUAUGAUAGGUAGCCGGCCUGAGAGGGUGGACGGCCACAAGGGGACUGAGAUACGGCCCUUACUCCUACGGGAGGCAGCAGUGGGGAAUAUUGGACAAUGGGGGCAACCCUGAUCCAGCAAUUCUGUGUGCACGAUGAAGGUCUUCGGAUUGUAAAGUGCUUUCAGCAGGGAAGAAAAAAAUGACGGUACCUGCAGAAGAAGCGACGGCUAAAUACGUGCCAGCAGCCGCGGUAAUACGUAUGUCGCGAGCGUUAUCCGGAAUUAUUGGGCAUAAAGGGCAUCUAGGCGGCACGACAAGUCAGGGGUGAAAACUUGCGGCUCAACUGCAAGCUUGCCUUUGAAACUGUAGUGCUAGAGUAUUGGAAAGGUGGGCGGAACUACACGAGUAGAGGUGAAAUUCGUAGAUAUGUGUAGGAAUGCCGAUGAUGAAGAUAGCUCACUGGACGAUAACUGACGCUGAAGUGCGAAAGCUAGGGGAGCGAACAGGAUUAGAUACCCUGGUAGUCCUAGCUGUAAACGAUGAUUACUGGGUGUGGGCAUGAAGAGUGUCCGUGCCGAAGUUAAUGCGAUAAGUAAUCCGCCUGGGGAGUACGGCCGCAAGGCUGAAACUCAAAGGAAUUGACGGGGACCCGCACAAGCGGUGGAGCAUGU
rnacentral:rRNA from 1 species